GUGUAGCUGGCCUUUCGGGGGCACGUGCACGCCCGAGCCUUUAAUCCACAUACACCUGUGAACCUAAUGUAAGGGCCCGUAAAAAAGGCCCCUACGUCUCAUCCACCCCCCCAUCGUAUGUCUCAUAGAAUGUAAAUCAAUGUCCUCGCCCUAAAAAAGCGUCGAUAAACUUAUACAACUUUCAACAACGGAUCUCUUGGCCCUCGCAUCGAUGAAGAACGCAGCGAAAUGCGAUAAGUAAUGUGAAUUGCAGAUUUUCAGUGAAUCAUCGAAUCUUUGAACGCACCUUGCGCUCCUUGGUAUUCCGAGGAGCAUGCCUGUUUGAGUGUCAUUAAAUUCUCAACCCCGAAUCGAUUUGUUUCUAUUCGGGGCUUGGACUUGGAGCGUGCUGGCGAAGGUCGGCUCCUCUCAAAUGCAUCAGCGGAAUUCAACCUUUGGCUUCCGGACAUCAGUGUGAUAAUGACGUUGCGCUGUCGUCCGACCCUCAAAGUCCGCUUACAAUGGUCUUCGGACAAAACCUUGCAUCAUAUUUGACCUCAAAUCAGGUAGGACUACCCGCUGAACUUAAGCAUAUCAAUAAGCGGAGGAAAAGAAACUAACAAGGAUUCCCCUAGUAACUGCGAGUGAAGCGGGAAAAGCUCAAAUUUGAAAUCUGGCGGUCUUGCGGCCGUCCGAGUUGUAAUCUGGAGAAGUGUU
rnacentral:rRNA from 1 species